GGAAGGCUCAUAGCUCAGUGAUAAAGCACCUGCUUUGCAUGCACAGGGUCCCAGGUUCAGUUCCUAGGCCAUCUCCA